AACGCAUAUUGCGCCCCUCGGUAUUCCGGGGGGCAUGCCCGUUCGAGCGUCAUUACACCACUCAAGCCUGGCUUGGUAUUGGGCGAGGGAUUAACACUCCCCGCCUCUAAAUCUUCGGCUGGUCGGUCUGAAUCUCAGCGUUGUGGUUUAUUCAAAUCGCUGCGGAGGAUGGCCGGCGGUGCCGUUAAACAACCCCCAUCAAAGGUUGACCUCGGAUCGGGUAGGGAUACCCGCUGAACUUAA
rnacentral:misc_RNA from 1 species